rnacentral:hammerhead_ribozyme from 1 species
AUUCAGCUGACGAGUCUCAAAUAAGAAGAAACACCUGUCUUGGAU